AGGUAGACUGAGAGCUCCAGAUCUCGCCUCAUGCCUUGUGUACAGGUCUGUUUCAUGCAUCUUCUUUUUCUCAUGGAACAAGCAGCCUCCCCAGGGCUGCAUGUGAGGCAUUUGAACCUUCUCAGCCUAGGGGUCCGAAUCGGAACCUACACCACAGCCACAGCAAGGGCAGAUCAGAGCCGCGCCUGCGACUUACACCACAGCUCACAGCAAUGCUGGAUCCUUAAUCCACUGAGCAAGGCCAGGGAUGGAACCUGCAUCCUCAUGGAUCCUAGUUGGGUUUGUUAACCACUGAGCCAUGAAGGGAACUCCUAAUUAUUAGUUCUGAUAUCUGUCUGUAAAGAAUUAGAACUUUAGUUUGGCAACUAGAACUUGAUACAAGUAAUUGGUCAUUUUUGAUAGUUCAUACUCUGCUUCCCUUUACUCUCAUUGAUCACCUAACUGUAAUCUUUAUCGGCCUCCAUCACCAUGUCUUCUAAGGAUAGUAAAUGACCUUCUCUUUAUCAAUUCCAUUGUUUCAAUUUUCUUAAUCUGCUUGAUUGCUAUAUAACACCGAGCACUAGAGAAUCGAAUCUUCCUUCGAAGUUCUCUUUUCCUUUUUGGCACCAGGACAUGGAGCUGGAUUCUGAUGUCUCCCUCUUCCACUGCUGGGCGCAUCAUGCAGCCGCCAUCCUCAGCAUGUUCAGCAUUCCCACCCAGUACAUCGCAUGUUUCCUCUUCUCUUCUUUUUCUGUACUGGUUGCCCAUUAGAGGGUUUCCUAGGCUAAUAUCUCUGUUCAUGAUUUUACUUGUGUUUGUAAAACUUGCUUCUGUCACUAAACAUCAUGCACUUGAAUACCACACCAUUCUCUCAAAUUCAGUGUUUUUAAGACUGAAAAAUCAUUUUUCUCCUUAAGUCCCUUUUCUCUUCUAAUUUUCCUUUUCUUUUGUGGCGUCUUCUGCUAAGUAGUCUCCUUGUCGUCCAACCUUGAAACUUAGUACACAUCAUUUUCUCUUCUUCCUCAGUUUUUCUUUUUAAACUUUGCCUCUUAUGGCAAAGACACAUAGGUUUCUUUUCAUUCCCACAGAAACUACCAAAGCAUUGGUUUCCUGCAUCCUGGUUUUGCCCUCUUGAGUCGAUGUUCUGUGCUAUGUUGCACUGAGCCUCAUAAGCUAUCCAUAUUACCCCAACCUCAAAAUCCUUCUGUGGUGGUUAUUGCUUACAGUCCGCCUUGCUUAGCCUAGAAUUCAAGGCCAGGUACAAUAUGACUGACAGAGCGCCCCAGCUAUUUUACCCAACACAAACCCAAUGAUUUAAUGACAAUGCACUAGUCAUUUGCCUGAUUUGUUGCAUUCACUCACAUUGUUCCCUCUCUAGAUUGAGCUGAAACUCAGCUCUAGCCUCAUACUAAAGUCCAGUCAAUGUCCAAGGGUCUUCCUAAAGUUUCCUGCCUAGUAAUGUUUUACAAAGGGAUGUAAUUUUUUUUUUUUUUGUCUUUUUGCUUUUUCUAGGGCCCCUCCUGCAGCAUAUGGAGGUUCUCAGGCUAGGGGUCUAAUCAGAGCUGUAGCUGCUGGCCUAUGCCAGAGCCACAGUAAUGCAGGAUCCAAGCCGAGUCUGUGACCUACACCACCGCUCACAGCAACGCCAGAUCCUUAACCCACUGAGCAAGGCCAGGGAUUGAACCCUCAACAUUAUGGUUCCUAGUCAGAUUCGUUAACCACUGAGCCAUGACGGGAACUCCACAAAGGGAUAUAAUUUUAAGUGGUGUAUUGAAAAGCAUCAAAAGAACAUGAAUUAUGUAGUUAAAAAAAAUUAUUCCCUUGGAGUUCCCUAGUGGCCUAGGGAUUAAAGCUCAGGGUUGUCACUGCUGUGGCUCCAAGGUUAUUGCUGUGGCACAGGUUUGAUUCCUGGCCUGGAAACUUCCACAUGCUUUUUUGGGUGCAACCAAAAAAGAGUUAUUAUAAUAUCUCUUUUCUUUCACUCUUUCUAAUUUUAUCAAGGAGAAGACCUCAAUUUGAUUAAACUAACUUGUUUUCAACAUCACUCUAACAUUUAAUAAUUUUUCUUUUAAUCAGUGAAAAGGCAGGAAGAUAACUCAUUGCAUUAGGCAGCCACCACCAUCUAGUUAGAAAUAUAAAUAACAUUAUUUUCUUUAUAUUUGUUUGUUACCUUUCAUUUAUGGUAAAGAUACUGGUUUUUCAGUAGGUUGAUAAUGUUAAUAUUAAUAUUUAAACGAUUGCUCAAUUUUAAUAUUUACCUAUUUAGAUUUUAUUUAAAUAUUUAAAUCAGGUUUUUCUUGAAGAUACAGAAAAUAUCAGGUAAAUAAUAAUAUAUGUGGUAAUUAUUAAGAGGCAAAUUCAAGAAGGUGGGACAUAGGGUUACACAGAAAUUAUAAAAGCUACACAUGAAUGACUACAAUCUGAGGAGCCCUCAAUUACCAUUUAGCGUACAACUUUUUUUCAUUUUUAACCUCUGAAAGUUCAGUCACACUUCUAAGAAGCUUUUCUGUAUUAACUAAUGGAAUCUUUUCAAGAAUCCCAUAUGAGAUACUAUUAUUUUCUCUGCUUCGCAGAUGAGCAAAUUUGCCCAGCUUCUCUCAAGUGGCAAAGCUGUAGAGACAGGCUUUGAAACCAGGCCUUUAGCCUCUGGAACCUGUGCUCUCAACCACUCUGCCUCAGGAGAAGCACAUCAAUCUUUUAUUUGACAAUAACAAAUAAGAUCUUUGUGUUCACUAUCAUUCAUCUAUCUCUUUCCCCCAGAGGGAAAAAUUUUACUCAGACAUGAAGUUAAACUCUGUAGAAACCUCCUAUGAGUAAUUGUAUUUAGAAUUGAUUUCUAUCUCUGAAGACAACUUGAAAAACUUUUUCUUCCAACAGUUUAGUUCCUAAAACUCAGGAAGUACUCAGUUAACUACAGGUUCGAUAACAAAUAGGAAAACGCUAGUCUCUGCAUGAAUAACUUUUAUAGUUUGUUCAUUAGAAAGUCCAGGAGCAUGAUGACCAAGCACAAUUUGCAUCUGCUUCCUCAGCAGACUGCCUGGUAGAUGAACAGCCCUCGGCAGUUCAAGUGAAAUAUUUAGUAACUAAACAGGGAGUAGUAUGAAAGCAAAUUAUAUACACUGGAGAAAUGCAUCACAGAAAAUGUUAUGGUUAGGCUUGAUAUUAGAAUGUAUUACCCUUACAUUUGCCUUUUCAAUUCUCUAAAAAAAUGAAGGCGCACUUUUCUGAGAAACUGCAGUAUCCUAAUUUUAAAAUUACUGUAAAUCAUAUUUUGAUAUAAGGAUUUUAUAAUAACCCGAUAUAUUUUCAGCCUCUAUAUAUUUAAAAUGUAGAUCUCAUACACAACCAAGAAAGAUAUGAUAGACAUUUUCUCAUAAACACUCAGUAUUUUUUAAAGCAUGCUUAAUAUAACCAAAGUUGCUAUAUUUGUUUCAUAAUUCUACUGUCUGCUAAUUAUUGGUCUAACACAGAGGUGGGGAAAUUAUGAUCUGCAGGUAAAAUCUGGAUAUGGCCUCUUUUUUUGUGGCUCCCAAGCUAAGAAUGAUUAUCACAUUUUUAGGGGUUAUAAAAAAAAAGAAUAAAAGAAUUAUGCGAUAAUACUGCACAUAGCCUGUAAAGCCUAAAAUAUUUGCUAUAUAGUCUUUUACAGAAAAGUUUGCCAACCACUAAUCUAUCUUCUAUAUUCUUCUAUAGCAUGCUUCCAGUUUUUAUUUUACUAUGAAAUUACUUAAUUUUUCAUAAAUAUCUCUGAUUGAAAUCUGGUCCCUGGUAGUACUUCAUCUUUCAGUUUACGGUAUAUAAUUCUGAUAUUGUAAUAGAAAGUCAACGAGUUAAAUUCAUUUCAUAUUUUACCUAGCCUAGUAUUUGUUAUUCAGAAAACAGUAGUUUAGGAAAUGCAUUUGAGUAACCUUCUCAAAGGAUGUCUUUCUAAGCCAAGAUAUCAAAACUGACCCUGAUGAGUCUCAAAUGAGAUUGGGGCAGGGGAUGUCAUUGGAAUAUAGUAUAAUUUGACUGUGGGAGGGAUGUAAGUCACUGAAGACAGAGAGCAGACUGUAUGGUCUAGAAUCCCCUUGGAUUCAUGCCUGUAAACCAUGCCUCCUGGUAUUUACACACCUGUAUAGUCCCUUUCCACAUUGAACUUGAGUUUGCCUUGGUAAUUAACAGGACACAGCACAAGUGACACCAUAUUAUUUCCUGGCCGAGUCAAAAGAAUUCUUGUAGAUUCUGGCUUAUUCUCCUAGAAUACGUGCUCUCUGAAAGCUGCCUCUCAAAAAUCUAAAAAAUUAGGUAAGAAUCUCAAACUGCAUGGAAAAGACACAUGUAGACAUUCAGCCCCAGCAAAGCUCCUACACAAUAGCCAGCAUCAGUUACCAGUCAUUUGAGUGAGCUAUACUGAAUACCUGGUCUCAGAUCAUCAGAUGAUUCCAGCUGCCAUUCGUUUACAGUCAUUUGAGAGAUCCCAAGCAACAACCACCCAGCUGAGUAUCUAUCACCAGAAGGGGUUAUAAUAAAUUAAUUCAAACUAUUAAGUGUAGACGUGAUGUGUCAUGCAACAGUAGAUAACUAGAACAACAUGUUCCUGUCAUUCUUUGAGUAUGUCCUUAUUCACAGGCUUAUCUUGUACUUUCCUGUGAUAGCCCUGGAAUCAACCAUUUCUCUAAGAAAUCCUGAUUUCUAUUAGUGAGUAAUGAUAUUUAGAAAGUAAUAUAUGGGGAAUUUGUGCUGUGGCACAGUAGGUUAAGAAUCUGACUGUAGGAGUUCCUGUCGUGGCUCAGCAGUAACCAAUCCAACCAGUAUCCAUGAGGCUGAGGGUUUGAUCCCUGGCCUCACAGAAUGGGUUAAGGAUCCAGCCUCGCUGUGAGUUGUGGUGUAGGUUGAAGACGUGGCUCGGAUCCUGCAGCUUGAAUUCGACCCCUAGCCUGGGAACUAACAUAUGCCACAGCCCUUAAAAAAAAAAAAAAAAAAAAAAAACAAUCUGACUGCAGUGGCUCCAAGGCUGGUUGCAGUGGGUUAAAUGUUCCACUGUUGCUGCAGCUGCAGCAUAGGUCGAAGCUACUGCUCAGGUUAGAUGCCUGGCCCAGGAACUUCUGUAUGCUGCGGGUACAGCCAUUUAAAAAAAAAGAAAAA
rnacentral:lncRNA from 1 species